rnacentral:rRNA from 1 species
UCGGGAAUUUUGGGCAAUGGGCGAAAGCCUGACCCAGCAACGCCGCGUGAAGGAUGAAAUCUUUCGGGAUGUAAACUUCGGAAGAAUAGGAAGAAUAAAAUGACGGUACUAUUUUAAGGUCCGGCUAACUACGUGCCAGCAGCCGCGGUAAUACGUAGGGACCAAGCGUUGUUCGGAUUUACUGGGCGUAAAGGGCGCGUAGGCGGCGUAAUAAGUCACUUGUGAAAUCUCCGGGCUUAACUCGGAGCGGCCAAGUGAUACUGUUAGGCUAGAGUGCAGAAAGGGCAAUCGGAAUUCUUGGUGUAGCGGUGAAAUGCGUAGAUAUCAAGAGGAACACCUGAGGCGAAGGCGGGUUGCUAGGCUGACACUGACGCUGAGGCGCGAAAGCUAGGGUAGCAAACGGGAUUAGAUACCCAAGUAGUCCCUGAGCGGGCUGGCAAGGCGCAU